UACGUAGGGUGCGAGCGUUGUCCGGAAUUACUGGGCGUAAAGAGCUCGUAGGUGGUUUGUCGCGUUGUUCGUGAAAACCGGGGGCUUAACUCUCGGCGUGCGGGCGAUACGGGCAGACUGGAGUACUGCAGGGGAGACUGGAAUUCCUAGUGUAGCGGUGGAAUGCGCAGAUAUCAGGAGGAACACCGGUGGCGAAGGCGGGUCUCUGGGCAGUAACUGACGCUGAGGAGCGAAAGCGUGGGGAGCGAACAGG
rnacentral:rRNA from 1 species